UUAAGUGACGAUAGCCUAGGAGAUACACCUGUACCCAUGCCGAACACAGAAGUUAAGCCCUAGAACGCCGGAAGUAGUUGGGGGUUGCCCCCU
rnacentral:rRNA from 1 species